CGUAAGCGUAUACCAAAGUUGUUGCAGUUAAAACGCUCGUAGUCGGAAUUUGGCAGUUCCGGAAGUGUGCACGUCGUGUGCGCACUUUGCGGGGACUGCUUUUGUGGUCUUGCGUAGGAUGAGGCACUUUCAUUAGUGAACGUCCUCACGCAACCACUCUUUACUGUGAGAAAAUCAGAGUGCUCAAAGCAGGCAUUUGCCGUGAAUGUAUUAGCAUGGAAUAAUAGAAUAGGACUCGGUUCUAUUUUGUUGGUUUGUUGGGACUGAGUAAUGAUUAAGAGGGACAGUUGGGGGCAUUUGUAUUCCGGCGCUAGAGGUGAAAUUCUUAGAUUGCCGGAAGACAAACUGCUGCGAAAGCGUCUGCCAAGGAUGUUUUCAUUGA
rnacentral:rRNA from 1 species